rnacentral:rRNA from 1 species
UGGGGAAUAUUGCACAAUGGGGGAAACCCUGAUGCAGCGACGCCGCGUGAAGGAAGAAGUAUCUCGGUAUGUAAACUUCUAUCAGCAGGGAAGAUAGUGACGGUACCUGACUAAGAAGCCCCGGCUAACUA